rnacentral:lncRNA from 1 species
UCCUGACGCGCCGCGCUCCCCGCUGAGCCAAUGGCGGCACUGUCCGCGCUCGGCCACCUGACCCCGGGCGCCGUUGUUAUUAGGCGCGGCGAGGCGGGCGGCGCGCGGCAGCAGGGUUGGGCUCUGGCCGGGAGUCGACUGAGGGAGCGAGGACUGGGGGCGCGCGCGCGCGCCCGUGCCCGGACUGUCCGCCGCGGCCGCUCGCUUUUUCGCCUCCCUCCUCAUGCCAGCGUCUUAUUCAGCCCCCUCAGCCCUUCCACCCGCCUCCAAUCGCCAGCCCGCAGGGACUUCAAGGACUAUGAAUCUGGCUGCCUGUAAAUGAAAGAUGAAGACUUGGGGGAAAAGAGUGGGACAUGUGCACACACAUCAUGGUUCUCCCUUUCCAGAUUUCC